AAGGCGGGGCUGCCUUUUCAACAAGGUUUAAGUCAAAACGACGGUCGGAGGGGCCAGACAUUUUCAAAGGUAUUGAAGAGAGAAAAGGUCGGACAAAUCAAGAUCUUAGAAGUGCAAGAAUGGAGCUUCUACUGGUGGAGAUUCAAGUGUGCUUUGGAACUUAAUGCCAGCCCCUAUAAAAAGCUGCACUCGACGGAGCUUCAGACAUCGAAGAGGCGCCUGCUCAGAAAUCGAAGAGGCGUUUGCUUUCUCAAAAGCUGGGCUGCUUAGAGACCACGAGGGUUGAUCUCAUAAAUCGAAGAGGUGUUUGCUUUCUCAAAAGUUGGGCUGCUCA
rnacentral:lncRNA from 1 species